rnacentral:rRNA from 1 species
AGCGAACGCUGGCGGCAGGCCUAACACAUGCAAGUCGAACGAACCUUUCGGGGUUAGUGGCGGACGGGGGAGUAACACGUGGGAACGUGCCUUUAGGUUCGGAAUAACUCAGGGAAACUUGUGCUAAUACCGAAUGUGCCCUUCGGGGGAAAGAUUUAUCGCCUUUAGAGCGGCCCGCGUCUGAUUAGCUAGUUGGUUGAGGUAAUGGCGCACCAAGGCGACGAUCAGUAGCUGGUCUGAGAGGAUGAUCAGCCACAUUGGGACUGAGACACGGCCCAAACUCCUACGGGAGGCAGCAGUGGGGAAUCUUGCGCAAUGGGCGAAAGCCUGACGCAGCCAUGCCGCGUGAAUGAUGAAGGUCUUAGGAUUGUAAAAUUCUUUCACCGGGGACGAUAAUGACGGUACCCGGAGAAGAAGCCCCGGCUAACUUCGUG